rnacentral:rRNA from 1 species
CAGUCGCCACGGUAAUACAGAGGGUGCGAGCGUUAAUCGGAUUUACUGGGCGUAAAGCGUACGUAGGCGGCUCUUUAAGUCGGAUGUGAAAUCCCCGAGCUUAACUUGGGAAUUGCAUUCGAUACUGGGAAGCUAGAGUAUGGGAGAGGAUGGUAGAAUUCCAGGUGUAGCGGUGAAAUGCGUAGAGAUCUGGAGGAAUACCGAUGGCGUAGGCAGCCAUCUGGCCUAAUACUGACGCUGAGGUACGAAAGCAUGGGGAGCAAACAGGAUUAGAUACCCGAGUAGUCCCUGUCUCUUAUAC